AGUGAACGCUGGCGGCGUGCCUAACACAUGCAAGUCGAAGGAAGUGGCGCACGGGUGAGUAAUAUAUAGCGAAAAUGCCCCUAGCUGGAGGACAACAGUUAGAAAAGAGUGCUAAUACUCCAAAGCAAGGGAGGAGACUAUAUCGUAUCAGCUAGUCGGUGGGGUAACGGCCUACCGAGGCUAUGACGCGUAACUGGUCUGAGAGGAUGAUCAGUCCAAUUGGAACUGAGACACGGUCCAAACUCCUACGGGAGGCAGCAGUAGGGAAUAGUGCGCAAUGGGGGAGACCCUGACGGAGCAACGCCGCGUGGAGGAUGACACGGUUCGGAGCGUAAACUCCUGUUGUUAGGGAAGCGGUACCUAACGAAUAAGCACCGGCUAACUCCGUGCCAGCAGCCGCGGUAAUUC
rnacentral:rRNA from 1 species